rnacentral:rRNA from 1 species
UCAAAAGACCGUGAAACCGCUCAGAGUAUAAGCCCAUGGCAGCUUGGAAGGCAUGUCGGUAGCGGGGCAUCUGGAAGCCACCCUUUUGCGAGGGAGGUGGAAGGGUGUUACCCUGUCUUUGUAAUGGCUCGUCAAGGUAGGGGGGUCAAGUCCACAUCCCGCCGUCGGGUGGGGGGCGCUGUGGCGCGUUCAUGUUCUGCAGUCGGCUUGCCGGUUGUAGGGCUGGGCGUGUUCGGUGUCUCUUGUACCCGGACGUUCAGAGUCAGAGACAGGAUACGACAAACAGCCCACCACGGCACGUUGUGAGGUCACCCACAGGCUCGACUUUCGAUUGUGGGCCUUGACAAAGAGCAGCUGGAUGCGUGUCGCAAGAAUUCCUGACCUCUGUCUUGAAACACAGAAGAGGAUUGCGGAAGGACACGCGCUCAUACGUCAGGUCCGGGCGAUGACUGAGUUCUGGUAUGAUCCUCUGCGACGAGUCGCUUUCUGGCCAAGUUUCUGAUUGCCCAGUGCUCCCGCAUGUGCCGCGGGAGCACACGUUGACGGUCUGGAUCUUAGUGUCCUCUCAGUCGGGCAUCAGAACGAGUGGUGUAAAGUCCAAGCCCAUCGGUCACGUCUCGAAACACGGGCCAAGGAGUAUAGCAUGUGUGCAAGUCUAAGAGUCUCCCAAAACUCGAAGGCGAAGUGAAAGCAAGUAUGCGGCGGGUGAUCCACGGAGAUCCCGUCAGCUAGAGGUAACUCCGGCUUUGGCAGAGUUGAUCCUGCAGCGGUACAGCACACGUACGCUCAGGCGCAAACUCCAGGCUCACGUUUGUGUGGUUUUCGGACUGCACUGUGAGCACU